UUGUCACACCGCCCGUCGUUUCUACCGAUUGAAUGGCUUUGUGAGGUCUUGGGAGCGUUGGCUUGGUGGGCGACCGCCGCGCUGAUGCAAACUUGAUCAAACUUGGUCAUUUUGAGGAAGUACAAGUCGUAACAAGGUUUCCGUAGGUGAACCUGCGGAAGGAUCAUUUUUGAACCAAAUAUAACACUGUGACGAGCCCUUGCGUAGCGAGGGCGACUGCUUCCGGUUCGCCGGAUUUUUUUUUUCCAGUUUUCUGAUAAUGUUUGUGAAAAACUUUCAACAACGGAUCUCUUGGUUCUCGCAUCGAUGAAGAACGCAGCAAAGCGCGAUAGGUAAUGCGAAUUGCAGACGUGAGUCAUUGAAUCUUUGAACGCACAUUGCGCCAGUUUUCUGGCAUACUGCGUUGAGCGUCGGCCUUCCUCCACAGGUGCUGCUACUUUCAGUAGUGAAAGGCAUGGACACGCACCCGUUUGCAAACCGGUGUUGACCUACAAAUUCGACCUCAGCGUAGUAAGAUUUCCCGCUGAACUUUAGCAUAUCAAUAAGCGGAGGAAAAGAAACCAACAGGGAUUGCCCUAGUAAUGGCGAAUGAACAGGCAAAAGCUCAGAUUUGAAACCCUCGGGAUUGUAAUCUGGAGACCUGGAUUUGGCACGCUGACCAAGUCUUCUGGAACGGAGCGCCAUGGAGGGUGACAGCCCCGUAGCAGCAGCCGCAGUAAAUCCGGGUCGACGAGUCGA
rnacentral:rRNA from 1 species